AAAUAUUUGAAUUAUUAUCUGAGAAAUUAAACGUACAAGAAUAUAAUCAUUAAACAAGUACUGCAAUGCACUGAAUAAACAAUGCGUAUAAUCAUUUUGCUAUCAUAUUUUGUACAUUAUAUUCUGAAGCAAUGUUAUAUCGCUUAAAAAUUGUAAGGUAAAAACUCAUUAUGUUUGAUCCCAUCAACGACGGAAAUACUUUCUUAAAUUGAACAGCUCUUGUUUUAAUCAUACGGAUCUAUUUUCAUAUAAAAAUAAUAAAAUAUUUCUUAUGCACGCGCAGGAAAUAUAUUUAAAAUAAUAUUGCUCUCUUAUUAACGCAUUAUUAUGGUGUUUAUGAUGAUUUUUAAUAUGUCAGCAAAACGUGCAUACUGAUCUGUGUAACGUCCAGACAAGUGCGAGUGUAGUCUAAAAGGUGCAUACACUAAUAUAUAUAUAAUAUCACUUAGUUACAUAAUGUUACAUAAUGUUUAAACAGAAAUGAUUGGAAUAAACUAAGGAACGCCCUUUUGUUUAAAGUUAAAAAAAAAUCAUGUACAUGCUAAGAGGGUCAGUUUAGUGCGCCCAAACCUGAAGAGGGGCUGAGGUAAGACUCUCCACUAUCACCUCUUCGCCACCAUCACCCACCUUAAAUGAACAUUAGAAAAGUAAGGUGAGUGAGCAUGAUAGUCUCUCUAUUGAGGUUCGAAGCAAAUCCAAGGCGUACAUUAUUUAUACAUUCUAUAGACAUACAAUGUGCUGUGAACAGACACACCAAAUGGAUCACUCUAAUAAUAAAACAUGCUGUAUACAUAUAAAUGUAACUGCGAGAUGUAAAAUGUCUUUAGAGAAAUGGAUACAUAAAUUACAUUACAGAGUAAUCUCCAACGUGACGAUUUGCUGUCUUGUAAGAUGACGUCAAGUGAAAAAUGCAUAUGAAAUCCAAUUACUGGCACUGUUAGAGCUUCAGACAUACCUCUUUAAGACGUGUCGGUUCAUUCGGCCGAGCAAUCAAAGCGAUACCGUUGCAGACAACAGCGACGUCCUCGACGAAGACGCAAAGCGGCGA